CAGGCGCUCAGUCGCUGAGGAGUUGGACUCGGAUCGAAGUGAUGAGAGUGAAAAUACCCACUGUGGAAGACUUGAAGAAAUCGCAUCAGUCCACCUCGGCAGGACAGUGAAUCCUGCUGUUUUACACGCAGGAAGUGAAGGAAAAAAUUGGUGUUCACAUUGUGCCUGCUGAUGCUGACUUCCAUGAAGAUCAUUUCCAUCAGGUAUACUGCACAUCAGCAUUAAAACAUCUUCAUAAAAUCCUUAGUUUCUCUAUUACUGAAUAUUCACCAUGUGUCACAUUCUUUUGUCCUCUUUCUUGGUGGAGUGGCAUCACAGAAAGACGACUAUAAACCUCCUGAAUUUGAUCCUGCACACUAAAUCGGCUUACAGUAGAGGAAGGAGACAUCGCUCUCUAUUAGUCCGCAGUUAGAAAUGAAAGCUUAUCUGGCUGCAGCUGUGGAGGCGCUCCGAAGAUGGGGACGUUUAUUGUCAGGAACAAAUAGAGGCCUUUUAAUUUUGUCUAGCAGCUGACGCCUCUCCCCACCCACUCCUCCAAAAACCGCUUUUGUCAGUAAUGUAGAGUGGCCUGCUCAUGCUAGAGCAAGCGAUCAUGAGAGUUUCAUAGCAGAAAAAAAAUGUGUGCGGUUUGUAGUUGAUAGGCUCGGGUUGGAAAGGCCCGGCUGUUUGCCACAUGAUGUAAUUAUCUGCUAUUUCCCUCCAUCAAUAUAGCGUUUAAAUGUGUAUAUAUAUACGUGUGUGUGUGUGUGUGUGUGUGUGUGUGUGUGUGAUUGAUCUCUGGUUUGGACCCCCGGUGUAAUGUUGAGACUCUGUGGCCUGCAGCUUGGCCCCCCAUUUAAGCUGGGUUAGCUAUGAUCUCCCCCCUUCUAACCCCAAUCCCUCCCCCUUCCAUGAUCCCUCCCUCCCACACACACACACACACACACACACACACACACACACACACACAGAGUCUCUCAACACAAAAGAAAUAUUCAGCUGUAGAGAGGGGGGUCCCUUAGAGGGCGCGACAUUGAACUGGGGGGGAUUAAGAAGAAAUGGCUGGCUGACACUGGGGUUGCCAUGGCAAAGCCCCCCUUUUCUCCUCUCCCUCGACCCUCUGCCUAUUUAUCAUUUUAGGUCUCAUUGUGGGGUGAGGUGUAAGUGUGUGUGUGUGAGACUGUGAUGGAGUUGGAAAGAUGUAAUAUGGCUUAUGAAUUUAGCCUCUUAUCUGAGCUGGUCUGCUUCACCCUGAGAGAAAAGAGACUUCUAGUUCACAUGCUGCAGUUCAGACAACAGAACAGCAAGUAAAAAAAAUGUAUUAUGCAGGCAGUUUAUAGUGUUUUAUGUUAUUUAGUAAGUGGCUCUAAAAAUUGUACUACAUUAUUUAACUACCUACUGGCUAACAUAUUUCUUUUUCUAUGAUCAUACAAAUUAAUUUGUACGUUUUUGCAUCUUCACAAAGGAAAGCAUGCCGUGAAAGAAUACAGAGGCAAUAAUUCAAAGACCCAGCAUACUCACGAGACAAAAACGAAAUUGUCUGUUUUAUGACCUUCUGAAUUAUAGCUGCAAUAACGUGACGCAUUACUCAUCCAUUGUAGCCAGUGUGUUAUCAUGCUAGCCUGACGUUGGCCUCCCACAGCAGAGUAAUGGAUGCAGGUCUAGCCUGCUCAAUGACAUCAGCACCCUAAGCCGAUGAAACGGGGCGAUGAAUGACCAUAGAUCAGCGUUAACCAUCCUGACGUCAGCCCCCGGUCCGUGCAGCAGCGCAGUGGCACUGUCGGCAGUUGUUCCCCAGCGAUGGCCUGCUUCUGACAAUGGGAGCUCUCAGCCUGUGGCUUGGCGAUGGCUGGGGUAUAAAAAGCUUGGCUGCACAGCAGGACAUCGCAGCAUUGUUCUCUGGAAUAGAUGUCCAUAAGAAACGCUCAAAGAUAUUUCUCUAAUAUUGUUCUGAGAAAUGUCAAACCAUAGAGAGGGGGAUUUCAGGAUUGAGUUUAUUCAUUUAAAACAUGUAUUUUAUCUGAUUGAAGCGUCAGUUCACCCUAAUUACAAAAACAUUUCUCACUUAAUUCUAGUGUUAUCACUCCAUCAAAUAGUUUUGGUUUCAUUUGUCCAUUUGUCUUCUUUCACCUCAAAACAAUGGAGGUGAUUGAUUUUUUCCCUGUGUAACUCAUAGCAUGGAAAAAUUACAUUUAAAGUCCCUGUGGAAACUGUUUUGUGGAUUAUUUAGAAUAGCUGGGACUUUGUUUCUCUAAUGACACGUUGCUGUUGAAUGUUUUAAAUGUUAUUUCUUAAUGCUGUGACCACAACUAGUUAACAGCAGAAAUCUCAGAGACAGAUAUGCGAAAACCUGUGCAAAGGAAGCCAAAAUUAGCUGCAUGGCUAGAUACUACAAAAGGAAAUUAACUGACCCUCUAAAGACAAAAACACUGUGCAAUAUCAGCGCUAACAACUUCCUCUUCAUUUGUGUUUCAGAUGCUGUUACGGCUAAUUUUGAGAUGGAGAUGAAGACAGAGUUCCUCUGAUUAAUAAGGUGGUGGUAAUGCAAUAAAGCAGAUCCUCUCAGUUUAUGUUCCAGCUUAAACGCACCACAUGAUCAUGUAUAACAUAAACAGAACCAUCUUUGCCCUGUGGACAGUUGUCUCAUUCUGCCACUGUCCUGUGUCAUUAUGUCCCUGUGCUGUGCGACCUGCCCUCUGUGGUUUGAGCGACGUCCCCGGUUCUGUGCCUAUCCCCCGCUUGUCUGACUUGUCUGUCCUCCUUCCUCUACGCCCUGCUCUUGCCUGUCAGCUCGGCUCACGCUCACAGCCGCUGUCCUGCUUGCCUCGGUGAACAUUCAACGCUGUCGGUGAGUUUGGUAUGGAUCACAUAAAAACCAUCGACCGUUGACUGUGCCCCGCGGCUCGCUCUGACGACGUCGACCUCAGGAAAGAGCAAAAACGAACCAAAGGGCAAGUGGGCGCAUGCAAAUCCAGAGACGAAGACACGCGCACAAAAGUGACACUCUGUUUCCACUGUACCCAAAGACCAAAGGUCACAAUCAACAUUCAUUGCUGUCGCUGGGUUGGACUGUGUAGAAAAGCUCACUGAACAAUGAGUGCAACUGUGGCCCAGAUCUGCCUGACUCGCGUCUCAGCCAAUCAGCCGACCGGAUGUGAAACACUCUGAUUUCUUUAUUUAUAUACUUCUUGUUUUUCACUUCUAUUUUCUCCUCUCUUCCUCCCUCCCCGGCGCUAAGAGUCUUCAGGGGAAGAGAGAGAGAGAGAGAGAGAUAGAGACACAAAUAGACUUCUGGCUGCUUGCUUGUCCUCAUCCUCCUCUUUUCUCCUCUAAUUGGUGGUUAUGUGUGCAGCAAGGGGGAAGGAAGCGGAGUGAAUGUGUAAUCAUUUGGAGUCUCUUCUCCUUUAGAUGUUUCAUCCCUCUCUUUUUUGUUUGUCUAAUUAUAUACUGAGCUCGGUUAACUCUGUGUUAGCUGUGCUUCUGUGCUGGCAAGAAUGAACUAGUGACAGAGAGAGGGAGGACAAGGGGGAAACAAAAAAGGAGGAAAGAUUAUAGCACCAGCAAAAUGAUGAUCUAUUUUUUAGUAUAUUUUGUAUAAUAUUCCUCCCAGUGUUGCUGCAAAUGUGCCUCGAUAUAAGCAAUAUUCAAAUGAAGAAAGAAGACUGUUUUCACCUAUCUGACUGAGCAUGUCUCAUUAUCUGUGUUUGAGUUUCAUGAGAGACUGUCUGGUUUCCUUCCUGCUUCUGUGUGUGUGUGUGUGUGUGUGUGUGUGUGCGCGUGCGUGCACGUAUGCCAUGACAGAGGACCUGUCUGCUGAUCUCAGAGUGCAAUAUGUUAUUUUCCUUCUAUACUAAAGCAGCAUGCUCCCUCAUUGGAAAACACAGUCUAUAACCUUGUCUUCCUUCAGACAGUCUGGGACCGGCCAUGCAGCUGCCAUUUCUCAUUGCACCCUUCUGAAAUAACUCUCUGACACGGUGUCUGUAAUUCAUGUCAUAUAAACACACAGCUCGCACAGUUGAUAUACUUUAUAUGUAGGAAUGUGUUUUAUGAAGUGCUGACAUUUGCUGCAAGUUUUUUUUAUGGCUGAUUCAUUCAUUAAUUCAAUAAAGUUAAAUCGGAAUCCA